rnacentral:rRNA from 1 species
UGGGGAAUAUUGGACAAUGGGCGAAAGCCUGAUCCAGCAAUGCCGCGUGAGUGAUGAAGGCCUCAGGGUUGUAAAGCUCUUUUUACCAGGGAUGAUAAUGACAGUACCUGGAGAAUAAGCUCCGGCUAACUCCGUGCCAGCAGCCGCGGUAAUACGAAGGGGGCUAGCGUUGCUCGGAUUUACUGGGCGUAAAGCGCGUGUAGGCGGGCUGGAAAGUUGGGGGUGAAAUCCCGAGGCUCAACCUCGGAACUGCCUCCAAAACUUCCAGCCUGGACCCAAGUAGAGGCAAGUGGAAUUGCGAGUGUAGAGGUGAAAUUCGUAGAUAUUCGCAGGAACACCAGUGGCGAAGGCGACUUGCUGGACUUGUAGUGACGCUGAGACGCGAAAAGCGUGGGGAGCAAACAGGAUUAGAUACCCCGUAGCCCUGAGCGGGCUGGCAAGGCGCAU